AGCUUUGUGGAGGUGGGGGUAAACGAGGAGCUAGAGGUCAGGAUUUUUGUGCUGAUCUGUCAGAGGUAAGUUACUGUACUACAGACAGUACACAUAUAGUCAAAGUAUGAAUUCAUUGAUUUUUUUUUGCCAUUUUCACGGCCUGUUUUUAUUGAGACUAGACAACAUUUCUUAAAAAGCAGAAGAAAUAAUUAGUAAGGUCUAAAAACUAUAAUACCUAACUGCAAACCUAUGGGAGCAGAAGUCUGUAUUUUCCAUUCACUUUUGCUGUGAAUUUCAGUCUACACUAAAACGUAGUCUGCUAGGGGUCAGGGUGUGUGUGGGGGGGGCUCAUUGGUGGGACACUUGGCUAGCCGUGUGUGAAAUGCUCUGAUCCUCAUCCCUGCAGAAACUCUGUGAAG